GAUGAAGAACGUAGCGAAAUGGGAUAAGUAAUGUGAAUUGCAGAAUUCAGUGAAUCAUCGAAUCUUUGAACGCACAUUGCGCCCCCUGGUAUUCCGGGGGGCAUGCCUGUUCGAGCGUCAUUUCACCACUCAAGCCUCGCUUGGUAUUGGGCAACGCGGUCCGCCGCGUGCCUCAAAUCGACCGGCUGGGUCUUCUGUCCCCUAAGCGUUGUGGAAACUAUUCGCUAAAGGGUGUUCGGGAGGCUACGCCGUAAAACAACCCCAUUUCUAAGGUUGACCUCGGAUCAGGUAGGGAUACCCGCUGAACUUAAGCAUAUCAAUAAGCGGAGGA
rnacentral:misc_RNA from 1 species